rnacentral:rRNA from 1 species
UAGGGAAUCUUCCACAAUGGACGAAAGUCUGAUGGAGCAACGCCGCGUGUGUGAUGAAGGGUUUCGGCUCGUAAAAACACUGUUGUAAGAGAAGAAUGACAUUGAGAGUAACUGUUCAAUGUGUGACGGUAUCUUACCAGAAAGGAACGGCUAAAUACGUACCAG